rnacentral:lncRNA from 1 species
UAAUAUCAGAACAUCAGACAUGUUAAUAUGUGUUGUAGUGGUUUAAUAAUAUCAGAACAUCGGACAUGUUAAUAUGUGUUGUAGUGGUUUAAUAAUAUCAGAACAUCAGACAUGUUAAUAUGUGUUGUAGUGGUUUAAUAAUAUCAGAAUAUCAGACAUGUUAAUAUGUGGAUGGGCAUUACUCUGGAUCAGAAGGUUGGGUUUUGGUUGGGGAGAUGGAUGGGCAUUACUCUGGAUCAGAAGGUUGGGUUUUGGUUGGGGAGGUGGAUGGGCAUUACUCUGGAUCAGAAGGUUGGGUUUUGGUUGGGGAGGUGGAUGGGCAUUACUCUGGAUCAGAAGGUUGGGUUUUGGUUGGGGAGGUGGAUGGGCAUUACUCUGGAUCAGAAGGUUGGGUUUUGGUUGGGGAGGUUGAUGGGCAUUACUCUGGAUCAGAAGGUUGGGUUUUGGGUUGGGGAGAUGGAUGGGCAUUACUCUGGAUCAGAAGGUUGGGUUUUGGUUGGGGAGGUGGAUGGGCAUUACUCUGGAUCAGAAGGUUGGGUUUUGGUUGGGGAGGUGGAUGGGCAUUACUCUGGAUCAGAAGGUUGGGUUUUGGUUGGGGAGACGGAUGGGCAUUACUCUGGAUCAGAAGGUUGGGUUUUGGUUGGGGAGGCGGAUGGGCAUUACUCUGGAUCAGAAGGUUGGGUUUUAGUUGGGGAGGUGGAUGGGCAUUACUCUGGAUCAGAAGGUUGGGUUUUGGUUGGGGAGGUGGGAUGGGCAUUACUCUGGAUCAGAAGGUUGGGUUUUGGUUGGGGAGGUUGAUGGGCAUUACUCUGGAUCAGAAGGUUGGGUUUUGGUUGGGGAGGUUGAUGGGCAUUACUCUGGAUCAGAAGGUUGGGUUUUGGUUGGGGAGGUGGAUGGGCAUUACUCUGGAUCAGAAGGUUGGGUGUCUGAUCCCAGUAUUUUUUAAUUUAUACUGAACAAAAAUAUAACGCAACAUGCAACAAUAUCAAAGAUUUUACUGAGUUACAGUUCAUAGAAGGAAAUCCAUCAGUUGAAAUAAAUAAAUGAGGUCCUAAUCUAUGGAUUUCACAUGACUGGGCAGGGGCUCAGCAAUGAGUGGCCCCUGGGAGGGCAUAGGCCCACCCACUUGGGAGCCGGGUCUACCCACUGGGGAGGCAUUCCCAGCCAAUCAGAAUUAUUUUUCCCCCACAAAAGGGUUUUAUUACACACAGAAAUACUCCUGUGCACCCCUCCC